AAUAUUGGACAAUGGGGGGAACCCUGAUCCAGCCAUGCCGCGUGUGUGAAGAAGGUCUUCGGAUANUUAAGCACUUUAAGUUGGGANGAAGAGUCGUAGGCUAAUACCUUGCAAUUUUGACGUUACCAACAUAAUAAGCACCGGCUCACUUCGUCCCAGCAGCCUCGGUAAUACGAAGGGUACAAGCGUUAAGCGGAAUUACUGGGCGUAAAGCGCGCGUAGGUGGUUCGUUAAGUGUGAAGGGAAGGCCCCGGGCUUAACCUGGAAAUUGCUUUCAAAACUGACGAACUAGAGUACGGUAGAGGGUAGUGGAAUUUCCUGUGUAGCGGUGAAAUGCGUAGAUAUAGGAAGGAACAGCAGUGGCGAAGGCGACUACCUGGACUGAUACUGACACUGAGGUGCGAAAGCGUGGGGAGCAAACAGG
rnacentral:rRNA from 1 species